UGAGGAAUAUUGGUCAAUGGACGAGAGUCUGAACCAGCCAAGUCGCGUGCAGGAUGACGGCCCUAUGGGUUGUAAACUGCUUUUGUUUGGGAAUAAUCGACAUUACGUGUAAUGUUUUGCAUGUACCAUUCGAAUAAGGACCGGCUAAUUCCGUGCCAGCAGCCGCGGUAAUACGGAAGGUCCAGGCGUUAUCCGGAUUUAUUGGGUUUAAAGGGAGUGUAGGCGGUUGGUUAAGCGUGUUGUGAAAUGUAGAUGCUCAACAUCUGACUUGCAGCGCGAACUGGCUGACUUGAGUACACACAACGUAGGCGGAAUUCAUGGUGUAGCGGUGAAAUGCUUAGAUAUCAUGAAGAACUCCGAUUGCGAAGGCAGCUUACGGGAGUGUUACUGACGCUUAAGCUCGAAGGUGCGGGUAUCGAACAGG
rnacentral:rRNA from 1 species